UACGUAGGGGGCAAGCGUUACUCGGAAUCACUGGGCGUAAAGGGUGUGUAGGUGGCCGGUUAAGUCAAGGAUGAAAUCCCGAGGCUCAACUUCGGAAUUGUCCUUGAAACCGACCGGCUUGAGGCUAGUUGAGGAGAGCGGAAUUCCCGGUGGAGCGGUGAAAUGCGUAGAUAUCGGGAGGAACACCAGAGGCGAAGGCGGUUCUCUAAGCUAGUCCUGACACUGAAACACGAAAGCUAGGGGAGCAAACAGG
rnacentral:rRNA from 1 species